GGCUGUGGCUCAGCAGAUUCUACGUACUGGUUUGCCAACGAGCUUAGCAUUUUCUGGACAAUUAGUUCUGCGCCUUUUCUCUGUUCACAUUAA